UACGUAGGGGGCAAGCGUUGUCCGGAUUUAUUGGGCGUAAAGAGCGUGUAGGCGGCCAGGUAGGUCCGUUGUGAAAACUGGAGGCUUAACCUCCAGCGGUCGAUGGAAACCAUCUGGCUAGAGUCCGGAAGAGGAGAGUGGAAUUCCUGGUGUAGCGGUGAAAUGCGUAGAUAUCAGGAGGAACACCGGUGGUGUAGACGGCUUACUGGACCACGACUGACACUGAGGCACGAAAGCGUGGGUAGCAAACAGG
rnacentral:rRNA from 1 species